UACGAAGGGGGCUAGCGUUGCUCGGAAUCACUGGGCGUAAAGGGCGCGUAGGCGGCCAUUCAAGUCGGGGGUGAAAGCCUGUGGCUCAACCACAGAAUUGCCUUCGAUACUGUUUGGCUUGAGUUUGGUAGAGGUUGGUGGAACUGCGAGUGUAGAGGUGAAAUUCGUAGAUAUUCGCAGGAACACCGGUGGCGAAGGCGGGUCUCUGGGCCGAUACUGACGCUGAGGAGCGAAAGCGUGGGGAGCGAACAGG
rnacentral:rRNA from 1 species